rnacentral:sRNA from 2 species
GCCAUAUACGUUUUCUCCGAAGCUGAAAAGGGUUGUUACUUCUCAUAGAAGGUCUAUGCCGCCUGCUACGAACAGACCCCUGCGCAUUAUAUCGAUGGCCUGGACAUUCCCGGGUUUGGGAUAGGCUUUCAAGUUCCUGUUGAGGGCUUGUUCAAUUUCUUGCAUGUCAUACUAGCAUUAAAACAUUUUUUUUCUUUUAUCGAUCAAUGAUGCAGCGGGUCAGAUUCCACGAAAGUGUGUAGCGCAGACGCCAUGUGUUGUUUGACGGGGAUUACUUCCUCUCUUCCACAUUUUGCAAGGGU